GCCAGUGUGGACAGCAUAACCGAAGGAAUGACAGGGGAACGGAGGUCUACAUUCCAGAAAAGAACCAGACUCAACCAAAAGCCUACAAGUGAUGAUAUUGAGUAGAAAUAAAAGAUGCAAUUGCAAAAUUAAAAAAGAAAGAAAGAAAGAAAGGAAGGAAGGAAGAAAGGAAGAAAGGAAACCAUUCCAGUCCACCGAGCUGCUCACUCCAAAUGCAUUAAACAGUUGCUUGUAAAAUAAAAUACAGA